rnacentral:rRNA from 1 species
UACGUAGGGUGCGAGCGUUAAUCGGAAUUACUGGGCGUAAAGUGUGCGCAGGCGGCCGAGCAAGUCGAGUGUGAAAGCCCCGAGCUUAACUUGGGAACUGCGCUCGAAACUACUUGGCUAGAGUGUGGCAGAGGGAGGUGGAAUUCCACGUGUAACGGUGAAAUGCGUAGAGAUGUGGAGGAACACCGAUGGCGAAGGCAGCCUCCUGGGCCAACACUGACGCUCAUGCACGAAAGCGUGGGGAGCAAACAGG